AUUGAACGCUGGCGGCAGGCCUAACACAUGCAAGUCGAGCGCGCGGCGGACGGGGGAGUAAUGUCUGGGAAAAUGCCUGAUGGAGGGGGAUAACAACUGGAAACGGUAGCUAAUACCGCAUCUCAUCAGAUGUGCCCAGAUGGGAUUGGCUGGUAGGUGGGGGAACGGCUCACCAGGGCGACGAUCCCUAGCUGGUCUGAGAGGAGGACCAGCCACACUGGAACUGAGACACGGUCCAGACUCCUACGUGCGGCAGCAGUGGGGAAUAUUGCACAAUGGGCGCAAGCCUGAUGCAGCCAUGCCGCGUGUGUGAAGAAGGCCUUCGGGUUGUAAAGCACUUUCGGCGGGGAGGCGUUACCCGCAGAAGAAGCACCGGCUAACUCCGUGCCAGCCGCCGCGGUAAUAC
rnacentral:rRNA from 1 species